UACGUAGGGGGCUAGCGUUGUCCGGAAUCAUUGGGCGUAAAGCGCGUGUAGGCGGCCCGGUAAGUCCGCUGUGAAAGUCGGGGGCUCAACCCUCGGAUGCCGGUGGAUACUGUCGGGCUCGAGUACGGAAGAGGCGAGUGGAAUUCCUGGUGUAGCGGUGAAAUGCGCAGAUAUCAGAAGGAACACCAAUGGCGAAGGCAGCACUCUGGGACGUGACUGACGCUGAGACGCGAAAGCGUGGGGAGCAAACAGG
rnacentral:rRNA from 1 species